rnacentral:rRNA from 1 species
GACGAACGCUGGCGGUGUGCUUAACACAUGCAAGUCGAACGGUAAGGCCCUUUCGGGGGUACACGAGUGGCGAACGGGUGAGUAACACGUGAGUAACCUGCCCUCAUCUCUGGGAUAACAGUCGGAAACGGUUGCUAAUACUGGAUAUGAGCUUGCAAGGCAUCUUGUGGGUUGGAAAGAUUUUUUUGGUUGGGGAUGGACUCGCGGCCUAUCAGCUUGUUGGUGAGGUAGUGGCUCACCAAGGCUUCGACGGGUAGCCGGCCUGAGAGGGCGACCGGCCACAGUGGGACUGAGAUACGGCCCAAACUCCUACGGGAGGCAGCAGUGGGGAAUAUUGCACAAUGGACGGAAGUCUGAUGCAGCAACGCCGCGUGCGGGAUGACGGCCUUCGGGUUGGAAACCGCUUUCAAUUGUGACGAAGCUUUUUGUGACGGUAGCAGUAGAAGAAGCACCGGCUAACUACGUG